rnacentral:tRNA from 1 species
GGUCGCAUGGCCUAUUGGAUAAGGCGCUUGCCUUUGGAGCGGGAGAUUGUGGGUUUGACUCCCAUCGUAAUCA